ACCCACCACUUUGAGCACUUUCCCGGAUCCUUUCCUAUCAAUUCCCUCCAUUCAGUGAAGAGAGCAAAACACAAAAAUGAUCCUGUGGUUAAAUUUGGUGUCCUUACUAGCGGUCCUCAAAGGUAUCAAAUCUGAGGUCCAAUUGGUGGAAUCUGGAGGGGACGUGAGAAGACCUGGGCAGUCCCUCCGUCUCUCCUGCCAAGGAUCUGGCUACACCUUUAGCAGCUAUUCCAUGGAUUGGGUGAGACAGGCUCCAGGAAAAGGACUGGAAUGGGUGGCAUACAUCCGCUCUGACAGCAGUAGUAUUCACUAUUUAGACACAGUGAAGGGCCGCUUCACCAUCUCCAGAGACAAUGCCAAAAGCCAGCUGUAUCUGCAAAUGAACAGCCUCACAGCUGAAGACACGGCAGUCUAUUACUGUACGAGACACACAGUGAGAGGAAGUGAAUCUGAAGCUUGGCAAAAACCAGCCAUUCUUCACAGCAGUUCUGCAAAUCUUUUCAGCCUCAGAAUAGAGCUACAUUUUCCUAUGAGAGAAAAUAUGCCUGAUUUCCAAGGCAGGAAAGAGCUGAUAAUAUCAGCUCUGUGA